AUGACGCCUGCCAAACGCCCCUUUCCCCUCAGAUACCCAUCCCCAUCCCCAUCCCCCACUCCAGAGCAUCACAGCCUAAGCCCGGCUAUGCUUCUCGUGGAGCCUGAUGAGCGACUGGCCCAAAAGAGGUGUAUUGUGGUCUCUUCUCCCAACGUCGCCACGGAAGCUGAUGACCAUUACUGGCAACAGGAACUCAAGCAGCAGGCUAGAGCAUGCAAGCAUGUCUCUUUCUCCGGCUAUGACAUCGAGGUCAUGGACAAUGACGGCCUGAGGCGGGCUGUGUCACAGGUUAAGUGGUCCACCGCCAACCGCUCGGGUUCAACCACCGUCGAUCUCAUGCAUGGCCCCGCCGCUGAUCUCCUCUAG
rnacentral:rRNA from 1 species